rnacentral:rRNA from 1 species
GCAUAUCAAUAAGCGGAGGAAAAGAAACUAACAAGGAUUCCCCUAGUAGCGGCGAGCGAAGCGGGAUGAGCUCAAAUUUGAAAGCUGGUGUCCUUCGGGCAUCCGCAUUGUAAUCUAUAGAGGCGUUUUCCGUGCCGGACCGUGUCCAAGUCCCUUGGAACAGGGUAUCAAAGAGGGUGACAAUCCCGUACUUGACACGACGACCGGUGCUCUGUGAUACGUCUUCUACGAGUCGAGUUGUUUGGGAAUGCAGCUCAAAAUGGGUGGUAAAUUCCAUCUAAAGCUAAAUAUUGGCGAGAGACCGAUAGCGAACAAGUACCGUGAGGGAAAGAUGAAAAGCACUUUGGAAAGAGAGUUAAACAGUAUGUGAAAUUGUUGAAAGGGAAACGAUUGAGGUCAGUCGUGUCUGUAGGAUUCAGCCGUCUCUGGCGGUGUAUUUCCUGCAGACGGGUCAACAUCAGUUCUGACCGGUGGAUAAUGGCAGGAGGAAUGUGGCACCCUCGGGUGUGUUAUAGCCUCUUGUCGCAUACAUCGGUUGGGACUGAGGACUGCAGCUCGCCUUUAUGGCCGGGGUUCGCCCACGUUCGAGCUUAGGAUGUUGACAAAAUGGCCUUAAACGACCCGUCUUGAAACACGGAC